rnacentral:rRNA from 1 species
GAUGAACGCUGGCGGCGUGCCUAAUACAUGCAAGUCGAGCGAACGGACGAGAAGCUUGCUUUUCUGAUGUUAGCGGCGGACGGGUGAGUAACACGUGGAUAACCUACCUAUAAGACUGGGAUAACUUCGUGAAACCGGAGCUAAUACCGGAUAAUAUUUUGAACCGCAUGGUUCAAAAGUGAAAGACGGUCUUGCUGUCACUUAUAGAUGGAUCCGCGCUGCAUUAGCUAGUUGGUAAGGUAACGGCUUACCAAGGCAACGAUGCAUAGCCGACCUGAGAGGGUGAACGGCCACACGGGAACGGAGACACGGUCCAGACUCCUACGGGAGGCAGCAGUAGGGAAUCUUCCGCAAUGGGCGAAAGCCUGACGGAGCAACGCCGCGUGAGUGAUGAAGGUCUUCGGAUCGUAAAACUCUGUUAUUAGGGAAGAACAUAUGUGUAAGUAACUGUGCACAUCUUGACGGUACCUAAUCAGAAAGCCACGGCUAACUACGUG